CACACAGGGUUAUUGCGAAGAUGCUCAAGAGGAUUGUUGCCGUGAAGAAUGUGAUAAGGGCAAGCAAGUAAUGUCUUCAUCACGUGGACUAGAAAAUGAGUGUUCUGGAUCCAAAUUACAUGCUCCUACAAAGGUUUUUCAGAGUUUCAUGCCACCAAAUUAAUGUGGCACCAAGUGGAUGAAAACUACUAGCUCCUCUGGAGUUAUGUCCAUCAAUCAUCUAAAUGAGUCACAAUGCUGUGAAUGAGAGUCGAAUGAUACCCAUGACACACCCUUAUGAUCCUGCUCUAGAUCCUUCCUGGAAGUAAGUAGCCUUCAUCAUGCACCUUAAUUACUAACAUAAGUUAACACGAGGUAAAUUAAACUCCAAAAGAGUUCAAAUUUCAGCUCAUAUCU